GGGAAAGUGGCUCAGUGGCAGAGCACUUGCCUUGUACGCUUGAGGCCCUGGGUUCAAUUCCUCAGUACCA
rnacentral:tRNA from 1 species